UACAGGGCAAUAUGCACGG
rnacentral:misc_RNA from 1 species